rnacentral:miRNA from 1 species
GUUUUCAUGCAAUUAUGCAAUUAUAUAUAUAUAUAUAUAUAUAUAUAUAUAUAUAUAUAUACAUACAUAUAGAUAUAUAUAUAUACAUACACAUAGAUAUAUAUA